rnacentral:rRNA from 1 species
UACGGGGGGGUAAGCGUUGUUCGGAAUUACUGGGCGUAAAGGGCUCGUAGGCGGCCAACUAAGUCAGACGUGAAAUCCCUCAGCUUAACUGGGGAACUGCGUCUGAUACUGGAUGGCUUGGAUCCGGGAGAGGGAUGCGGAAUUCCAGGUUUAGCGGUGAAAUGCGUAGAUAUCUGGAGGAACACCGGUGGCGAAGGCGGCAUCCUGGACCGGUAUUGACGCUGAGGAGCGAAAGCCAGGGGAGCAAACGGG